AGAUUGAACGCUGGCGGCAUGCCUUACACAUGCAAGUCGAACGGCAGCACGGGAGCAAUCCUGGUGGCGAGUGGCGAACGGGUGAGUAAUAUAUCGGAACGUGCCCAGUCGUGGGGGAUAACGCAGCGAAAGCUGUGCUAAUACCGCAUACGAUCUCU
rnacentral:rRNA from 1 species